UACGAGGGGAGCAAGCGUUGUUCGGAUUUACUGGGCGUAAAGGGCGCGUAGGCGGUCGUGACAAGUCACUUGUGAAAUCUCCGGGCUUAACUCGGAACGGUCAAGUGAUACUGUCGGACUAGAGUGCAGAAGGGGCAACUGGAAUUCUCGGUGUAGCGGUGAAAUGCGUAGAUAUCGAGAGGAACACCUGCGGCGAAGGCGGGUUGCUGGGCUGACACUGACGCUGAGGCGCGAAAGCGUGGGGAGCAAACAGG
rnacentral:rRNA from 1 species